CCAGCUCCCCACAGGGGGAGAAAGGGUAGCUGGACCCUGUCACCCCUGGCGACUCACACGAGGGGGAUCGCUCCCCAUAGGAAGGCGGUGUGGAUGCUGGAACACCCCUCCCCUUAAUUGGGGCAGCAAGACACAGGCCUCAGAGCCCCGUGCUGGGCGUGAGAUGUAGGAAGGCGCCAGCAUCCCAGGCUGAGGGCACCCCGAGGGGAGAGGAGAGGGCCACUGGGGGCCUGGUAGCCCAGGAAGGGGCGGAGUCAGAGGACGGCAACACGUUUUUUUUUGUUUUUGUCUUAGAAACUUAAAAAAAAAUAUACAGAAAGAGUAUAUAAGAGGAAAGCCUCCCUCCCCCCACCCCGCCCCCCACCCCCACCCCCAGAGGCCCCUGUACUGACCAGCCGCCCCCACCCCCCAUUUUCAAAAUUCUAAGAGGCCAGGUUUGGGUUUGUUUCUUUUAGUGCCCACAAGCAGACUCAGGCAGGAGGGUGGCUGGACUGUGGAUUUGGGACCCACAGGCCGGUGGCGUUGUGUGUGACGGGGAAGUGGCUGGUUUUCCUCCCUGCCAUGAAUUCCUUUCCCUUUUGUUAGUUUGGGAAACUCUCUCUCUCCUAUUCUGAAGGAUAGCCUUGCCGGAUAGUGUUCUUGGCUGCAGACUUUUGCCUCUUAGCACCUGAAUAUAUCAUGCUGCUCCCUUCUAAUUUCUGAAGUUUCUGCUGAAAAACCCAGAUAGCCUUAUGGGAUUUUCCUUGGAUGUAAAUGCUUUCUCUCCUCUUGAUGCUUUUAAAAUUCUCUCUUUAUCCUUAGGUUUUGCCAUUUUAUUUACUGGCUGGCCUGGUAUGGAACUCUACGGGUUGGUUUUGUCGGGGGCUCUCUGCGCCUCCUGGGUCUGGAUUUCUGUUUCCUUCCCCAGAUUCAGGAAGUUUUCAGCUUUUAUCUCCUCAAAUAAAUGUUCUGCCUCCUUUUCUCUCUCUUCUCCUGCUGCAACCCCUGUAACUCGACUGUUAUGCUUGAUGGUAUCGCGGAGUUCCCUAGGUCUGUUCUCAUCUUGCACAACUUUUUUCACUCUCACUGGCUCAGCUUGGUGACUUUCCAUUACUCUGUCCGGGCUGCUGCUCUGCCCUUGUCCGGUCUCUUCUUUCUUAUUUUUUCCAGAUGGUCUCUUGUUCGUUUCUUUUAGUGAGUUUAUCAUCUCUUCCCGGUCCUUUUUUAGGUGUUUUAGGUCUUUCUGGAUGUUCUCCAGGCUUUCCUCGACUGUAGCCAACAUCUUUAGGAGAGUUACUCUAAAUUCUAGAUCAGUUACAGAACACGUCUCCGUUUUGGUUACCUCUCUCGCUGUGGUUUUGUUCUGUUCUUUCAUUUGGGACCUAUUCCUCCGCCUCCUCAUUUUGUCUACUGCUGCGUCUGUGUCUCUGUUAGCAAAGUCAGCUGCGUCUCCCGCACUUAAAGCAGUGGCCUUAGGAAGACGAGUUCCUGUAGUGCCCCGCGGUGCAGUGUCCCCUGUUAACGGGAAGAUGGCGCUUCAGGGGCGUCCCUGUGUGCGUUGCUACGGUAGCAGUUGCUACUGCUGUGGCUGAACUGCGCUCGCCUUCUGUGCAGUGGUUCUAUCUGUUGUGGGCAGGAUCGGGUCCCUGUGCGGUUAGUGGGUCGGUCUGGGGCGCACUGGAUCAGAUCUGGAAGAGCACACAUGGGAACUCUAGUC